GAUGAACGCUGGCGGCGUGCCUAAUACAUGCAAGUCGAGCGAACAGAUGAGGAGCUUGCUCCUCUGACGUUAGCGGCGGACGGGUGAGUAACACGUGGAUAACCUACCUAUAAGACUGGGAUAACUUCGGGAAACCGGAGCUAAUACCGGAUAAUAUAUUGAACUGCAUGGUUCAAUAGUGAAAGACGGUUUUGCUGUCACUUAUAGAUGGAUCCGCGCCGCAUUAGCUAGUUGGUAAGGUAACGGCUUACCAAGGCAACGAUGCGUAGCCGACCUGAGAGAGUGAUCGGCCACACUGGAACUGAGACACGGUCCAGACUCCUACGGGAGGCAGCAGUAGGGAAUCUUCCGCAAUGGGCGAAAGCCUGACGGAGCAACGCCGCGUGAGUGAUGAAGGUCUUCGGAUCGUAAAACUCUGUUAUUAGGGAAGAACAAAUGUGUAAGUAACUAUGCACGUCUUGACGGUACCUAAUCAGAAAGCCACGGCUAACUACGUG
rnacentral:rRNA from 1 species